rnacentral:lncRNA from 1 species
CAGAGACUUCUUGAACCACCUGGAAGCUUACCUCGCAAAGAGAGAUGGAGUCGACAAGCUUCUAAAGAUCUCCAGGUACGCCACCAAGAUCAUCCUCGCUUCCUCGCUCCUCCCGGAAACCUUGACCCUAAAUCGCCGACUCAAGAGCUUUGAGUCCAGCGUCGGUGUGAGUCGCAAAGCCUUCAGACUAGGCAAAUUCGUUCAAGAUUUGAACGCAUUAAGAAACUCGUGUUUCGAUUCGAAAGAAGAUGUGAUCCUCUCCAUCAUUGCCUACGGAGGCGAGGGUUUGUACAUGUUUGUCGAACAGUUCGUGUGGUUUGUUAAAUCGGGUUUGAUCGACGCCAAGCACUCGCGUAAUUUGCAGAAGAUCAGUGCUUGGGCUGGGUUCGUUGGGCACAUAGGGAGUAUCUCGUUGAAAAUUAGGGAUUUGAAGCGGAUCAAUGAAGACGAGUCGCGCUUGCUGUCGACCAUCGAGAUUUCGAUUUCCCGAGGACUUAAGUACGACGAGGAAGCGAAAAAGAUUCACAAAUUGAAGGAGAAAAGGUUGAUGAAGAGGCUGUCAAUUGUUCAAGAUUUGGCCGACGGGUUAAUGGCGUUGGCGGAUAUUCGGGACGGAAAGGGGCGGCUUUCAGGGCCGCUUCUGAUGUCAUCUGCUGGGCUUUUAUCUGCACUUACUAGUGCUCAUAAGAAUUGGCUGUCUUGCUGACACUAAUUAUGGUUUGACAAGGUAUGAUUCUUUCGCCCUGUGUCUUUCUUAUUGAAUUAUAAAUUCAGUCUGGCUAGUGUAUUCAAACUAUUUAGUAGAGAGAGCAAGCGAGAGCUCUCCUACUGUCAGUGUAGGAGAUAGAAUGUGAACCCACAAAAUUUAUUCUCUUCCGUUUGUUAUACUUCUAAUGAGGAAUAAAAUCAUACACAAGCAGUGGUUCAAAUAUAACUUUGUUUGUCAAUAUGUUUGUGACUCUCAUUUAUCUUUGCUAUAAAUGGAGAGUUCUAGGUUUCUUUAUGGGCAACUCAUGUUCACACUCAAUCCAUUCUAGUAAUUAUAUCAAUGUCAAUCUUUCUGAAUUUUAAUGUACUUCUGGGUAUCCGUUGCAGAUAUACUAAGAGUGAAUGGUCCCUUGUUUUUAAGGCCCAACUGGUUUUGAAGACCUUGAGGAUUAGACCAUUUCACAAAAUAAGUGAGAUAGAACUGGGCUAUAUAGUUUAUAACAAGGUGAAUUCAAGUAUUGGGGAGGAUACAACAAUAAAUUAGCUUUCAAGAAAGCCCAAUUCAAUGUGCGAUGAGCCAUGCCAAGGUCUAGCUUGAGGAUUAUGACUCAUUUGUGAUAUCCAAGUUGCAUGUACGUGAUAUCUAAUAUAAUAAGGAACUGACAAUGACAUCUUUUAAAGUCAUGAAGGGCCAUUAGCCUAAAAUGGAUAAUAUCCAUAUGUUGGGAGUAUGCCAUUACAAAUGGUAUUAUAAUUGAGCCAAUCCGAUGUGGGUCUAUGUCUAUUGGGACCACAAGGCAUUUUGCCUAUUUGACACGAUGUUAUGUUUGCAGGGAACACAUUGAUUCCUUUUACCUAUAUAGAUGACUUUUAAAGCCAUGGGAGUUCAUUAGGCUCAAAAUAUGCCAAUAUCUACAUGGAAGUGCGUUUGGUGCAUUUUUCAACGUGGGGAAUAAUGUAAUGAAAGCGGAGGCAUAUCUGCCCCAAGGGUUCAUGGAAAGGAUUCAAGAAGUUGGACUGGUGAUCCCGUCCUGGGCUCCACAAGUGGCGGUGCUCCGCCACCCCUCCACCGGCGGAUUCCUCUCACAUUGCGGGUGGAACUCGACCUUGGAAAGCAUAAGCCACGGCGUUCCCAUGAUUGCGUGGCCGCUGUACGCGGAACAAAGGAUGAAUGCCACGAUGUUGACGGAAGAGGUGGGGGUGGCAGCGCGUCCAGUGGUGGGAGAAGGGAAAAACGUAGUGGAACGGGAGGAGAUAGAGAGGGUGGUGAGGUUGGUGAUGGAAGGUGAAGAGGGGAAAGAGAUGAGGCGUAGGGUGCGAGAGCUGCAAAGCAGUGCCCUGGCCACACUGAAACCAGGUAGGCCAUCUUUUGAGUCCCUUUCUGAAGUGGCUGGGACCUGGACAACCACCGCUCAUUAGUUCGCUGCGACACGUCCCACAUAUAAUUUGUUUGCUGUCUCUUUUUAUUUAUUAAUCGUCGCACCAAUAAUACUACACGGUCUUGGCUUCGAGUAGCAGGUGGGGGCGGGUUGAAGUCUUGAAAGUUGAGACCGCAGAUAGUACGUAUUCCUUCUUUUUGUUAUUUCUUUUUAUAUUCUAAUAUAAGUCUCGUAGAAAAAUAUCCGUGGAAGAUUGAAACACCAUAACAGCAUUCGCAAAAGAUUAAAACAAGAUAAAUCUUAUUAUCAAAAAAUCUUUUUUUUUUCUAAGUAAAAUUACACUUUUAUUUUUAUUUUCUAUUUUAUUUAAAUACAAAAAUAUGUGUAAAUAUUAUAUAGAAAAUAUUUUUAAUAAAAACAUAUCGAGAAGUUAUGCAUAUAAUUACUAAUUUUUUUCAAUUAUAUUAUAUAACAUAAAGUUAUAUAAAUUAAAGUUGUAUAACAAAAAACUAUAUAAUAAAUAUUUUAUAGUCUAAAGCUAUAUAUAAACUUAUAUAUUUUUGUUAUAAUAAAAUAUAUAAAAUAGAAUGUAUAGUAAGAAAUUAUAUAAAAAAAAAUUUCAUAGUUAGAAGUUAUGUAAGCUGUAUUUUCUACGCUUAAGUUAGAAACUUGAAAAUGUUGAUAUCCUAAUUUUGUUUUACUAUAAGCUUUACAAAAAAAAUUUCAUUGGUAGAAACCAUGAAAAUUUUCUGUUGAUAAUUAUUUCAUAGUAGGACCUUUGUGGACAAUUUCUAAAAUUUUAUUGUUUAACUAGAAGUUAUAUAAAGUAACCUUGUUAAUCAACAAUUCUAUAACUAGAAGUUAUAUAGAGAGUUUCUAACUAUGAUAUAACUAAAAGUUAUACAAAACUAAAUUAUUAAUCAACAAUUACAAUUACAAAAUUUUAUAUUUAGAAGUUAUAUAGAAAAUAUUUCAUAACUUAAUGUUAUGCAAAAUUUUCAUUUUAUCGUGAUAAAAUUAUUCAUAGUCAAAACAUAUAACAAAUUUAUUCUUUCAUUCUUAUUAUUUAUUUAAUAUUGUUUAAUUAUUAUGUUACUUUCUUGAGUUUAUAAUAAUUAUUUUACUUUAUGAUAAUUGAUCAAUUUUCUCUAUUGUUCAAAAUAUUAAGCCUUUUUAUAUAGCAACUUUAAUAAUAAUAAAAAAAAAACCCAAAGAAAGAGUCACUACAACUUUUAUAAUAUUUCGUGUAUCAUUCUAAGGGAUUGAUUUAUGGAAUUUGUCGAUACUAGAAUAAAUGAACCAAUUUUAUUUAAAUUAUAAAGUAAAAAACAACAUGUGAAUUAACUUUUAUAAAGUGAAACUAAGUAGAAGAAACUAAAUUAAUAAUAAAAUGAAUAUUGAUUUUUAAUUCAAUUGAUUCAAGUAUGGAGUUUUCCACAAUCCAACUCAAGAUAUAAAAACAGAGAGAACAAAAGUUUUUUAAGUUAAGUGAUCUUUGGGUUUUGAGAUUCUUGACCGCUCGUGAUCAACUUGAGCUUUAUAACUCGAAAUUGUAUCUGAAACCUUUUUUUUUUUUAAAUAGAUUAAUAAAAUUAUCAAAUGAAUAAGAUUGAUUAUCAGUUUAAGGUUUGACUUUCUAACCAUUUCUACUCCAUAUUGUUUUAUUUUAAGACAAAUAAUGAUAAGGAAAACCAAGAUAACUAAUAAUCAAUAGUUACCAAGAAUCAUUAGUAUUAGAUAAUAACCUACCAUCUCGUUCCAUAAACUAACUCAUAAGGAUAGGACAAAAAAAUUGAUAAAUUGUAACACAACCAGUAAUUAAUCUCAUUAUUCCAAUAAUUUACCCAUCAUUUCUAUAACCUUAGGCUUUCAUGCUUCAAGUCCCAAGUUGGCUUUUUAGCUUCUUAUAGAGUAAAAAUCCAUAAUUCAAAUUAAAAGAAACUAAAAACAAUAUAUUCAAUAAAGAAGAAAAUAAAGAAACCAAAGUUUUUGUCUUCUUCCCCACAAAAAUGCCAAACUCCUGGGAAAAUCCCUAAACCCUAUAAUUAAGAACGUUUAUAUAAUAUUAUUAAUGACCUAAUAUGUGACACACUCUCAUUGGUCACUGAUUCGAGCCAAAAUAUGUGCUUUAAUGGCACAUAUUCGAUAGGAUUUGUACACUAAAUGACACUCAAAUCACCCAACUUGACCUAAAUUGAUGCUAAGGUCUUAGCUAUGAGUUUAACUUGUAUUUUAGAGAUUUAUCUCGAGUUCAAUGGAAGAAAAUAAUGUAAGUUGAAUCACUUUAGAUUUUGAAAGAUCAAGAAACUAUUAAAAGAGGAAAUAAGCAAGUCAAGACUUAUAGACCAUGAGGAAAUGCAAGAUGAGGAUAUCAUAAGUUUGGGAGAUGAGAAAUGACCAUUAUGGAAUAAGAAAGAAGGCAAGAAAACGUAGGAAAUGACACAUGAAACAAGAUUCACUUGCGGGGAAAUUUAAAACUCAAAAUCUGGUGGUAACAUAUAUCAUUUCAAAGCUCAAGAAGUCAAGAGUCCAAGAAUUUAAACAAUGUACAAAUCAAAGCUGAAAAUGAAAAAGUUAUGGUCAUUUAAAGACAACUAUGCAAAGCUGAAGGACAAUUUCGAAAUGAUUUUGAAAUUCAACUUAUGAAUUUGAAAUCCAAUUCGAAAUGACUCCAAUUUUGAAUUCACCCACUAGCAUUUUGAUGUUUCGUCUCCUUUACAUCGAGAAUUUCAUAUAGGGCACUUCAUCUGCCUUUAGUGGGUCUCACACGACUAGAAAUCACCAUUUUAUUAUUAUUAUUUUUAGUCAUUUUUAGGUAAUUAUUUUGUAAUGAGUGGUCAAUGAGAGUGUGCCACAUGUUAGGUAAUUGAUGAUAUUAUAUAAACUUUAUUAGUUCUAGGAUUUAAAUAUCUUAGAUCAUCUUCCAAGGAGUUUGACAUUAAAGGUGGAAGAACACGAGAACUUUGAUUUGUUUUUUUUUUUAUUCUUUAUUAAAUAUAUUGUUUUUAGUUUCUUUGAUUCAAAUUAUGGAUUUUUACCCUAUUAUGGAUUGUGAAUGUGACAUCACCCCCAUGAGAGGCUAAAAAGCCAACUUGGGGCUUGAAACAUGAAAACAUAAUGACUAGAAACUUAUAAGAAUAAUAGGUAAAUUAUUGUAACAAUGAAAUUGAUUAUUGGUUGGAUUACAAUUUAUCAAUUUUUAUCUUAUCCUUGUGAGUUAGUUUAGGGAAUGAUACGUUGGGUUAUUACCCGAUACUAAUGAUUUUUGGUAACUAUUGAUCAUUAUUUAUCAUGGUCUUCUUUAUCAUUAUUUGCCCCAAAACAAAGUUAUAAGGAGUAUGAAAAGUUAAAAAGCUAAAUUUUAAACUAGUAAUUAAUCUCAUUUAUUUGAUGGUAUUAGGAAUUUGUUUUAAAAAAAGAAAAAUUACGUUUCAAAUGCAAUUUUGAGUUAUAUAAUUCAAGUUGAUCACUAGCAGCCAAGGAUCUCGAAACCUUAAGAUCAUAUUACUUAAAAGACUCUUGUUUUCUCUAGUUUCUAUACCCUAAGUUGGAUUGUGGAAAAACCCAAACUUGAAUAAAUCAAAUUUAAAAUCAAUAUUUAUUUUGUUAUUAAUUUAAUUUAUUUUAUAUAGUUUCAAUUUAUUCACAUAUCGUUUUCCACUUCAAGAUUCAAACAAAAACAAUUCAUUUACUCUAGUAUUGACAAAUCUCAUAAGCUAGUCCCUGAGAAUGAUACAUGGGAUACUACAAAAGUUGUAGCAGUUUUUCUUUUAUUUUUCUUAGUUAGAACUACUACGUAUUAGGCUUAAGUAUUUUGGUAAAAUAGAGAUUUAUAGUCAAUCACUUAUUACAAGAAAAAGUCAUAAACAACCUAAAAAGUUUCAAAAACUACGAGUUCUAAAUGAGUACAAAGCAUUUUGAAUUGGAUAAAGGCAUUUGGAACUCAUUUCGACGUGUCUAAGGGCUCAAAUUCGAUCACUAGUGGUUAAGUUCGAAAUUUGGGUGAGUUCUAAGUCAAUUUCAAACUCAUAAGUGGAAAAAGGAGGUCAAAUUCGAAAUCGAGGGGUUGAGUUCAAAAUGCACAAUGAAAUUCAAACUCAGCAUUCUUUUCUAUCCAGUUUGCUUCAAAUGCGCAUAACUUCCUCGUUUUGACUUUGAUUUGCACACUAUUUGAAGUGUUGGAUUCUUGACUUCUAGAUCUUCGAAAUGAUAUACAUAUCUUGCCCAAAAUAAACUUUGGGAAUUGUUCCAAAAUUUGCCUCUAGAUCAGAGUAUAUGUUGCCACUGGAUUUUGAGUUCCAAAUUUCCAUGCAAAUUUUAUGAUUUUGCUUCAUGCCUCAUUGUCCAUGUUUGUGUGCCUUCUUUCUUACUUCAUAAUGAUCAACCCUCAUUUCCCAAACUCAUGACAUCCUCGCAUUGCAUUUCCUUAAAUUCCAUGAGUCUUGACUCACUCAAUUUCUCAUUUAAACCUCUUGAUAUUUCAAAAUCUAAAAUGGUUUCAACUUGUACCCUUUUAUUCCCUCAAACUUGAGAUAAAUGUUUGAAAUAAAACUUAAACUUAUAGCUAGGGCCUUAGCAUUGAUUUAAAUUAAGUUAGGUGAUUUUUGUGUCAUUUGGUGCACAAAUCAUAUUGAAUAUGUGCCAUUGGAGCACAUAUGUUGGCUCUAAUUAACCGUUUAACAUCUUUUCUGAUUUAGUCCCCAAAAAAGGUAGAUGAAGCUUCUUACUAUAUAGAUAAUCUUUGAUUUGCAUUCUCUAAAAAGUAAAAUUUGUACUAUCAAACUUCUCCAUUCCAUGUGUUGAACCAUCUUCGCUAACCAUCGCUCUCAAUUACAACAAAAAAACUAUGAUACUAGUUGUUAGGAUUAAAACACCAUAAUCCUAUUUUCAAAGGGACAAUAAACGAAUACGAAAAAUUAAAAUACAAGAACACAUAAGAUUUAUAGUGGUUUACUCUCAAUGUGAGAACUAUGUCCACUUGCAAUCGAUGUAGAAUUUCACUAUGAUGAAAUGAAAAUUACAAGAAAAUAAAAAACGCCUCACCCUCUAGGUUUUUCUCUCUACAUUUUUUCCAUUUCUUUCAAUUGCACUCAAUCACUCAAAGUCAGUUAUCCUAAACAUAACAAAAUUAUGGUAGCCAAAUUACAUAUUUAAAAUCCUUAAAAGUACCCCAACUUAAAAUGCCUUUAAAAAAUUUCGUCAAUUCACAUACAACCCACAUUUUGUCUCUGCAUAGGAUUAAUCUGCAUCAAGGCGAACAUUGUUAAGAGAAUAAUUAAGCUUCACACAUCUUAACAUAUUAUCACUUCAAAUAGUCAAUAUGUACGAUUACAUACUCAGAUCACAUAGCCCACUAAAAAAAAAGAAAACAUAAUUUCAUAAUAAUACAAAAAACAUGUAAUAAUAAUAUACAAAUAAGUGAAUUAGUUACUAUUAAACACAUAAUAACAAACCAUAUAAAGAAAAAUGAAUCGAUAACCGUACGAAUAAAUAAUAAUCAACAACACACAAUGAGAUACAACUAAAAUAAUGCUAUAAACUUAAUGUCAAAAUCACACAUAAAAGUUCAAAACUUAAGCAAUAUUCUUAUUAUAAAUCUUGGAAAGGAUUCUUUAUACAUUGGAUAAUAACUUUGAAUAGAAUGGUGAGUGAAAACUUUGAUUAAUAUAUUAGUUCCUUUUCUAUUUUUUUUCUUCCUUCAAGAGGGAAUAAUGAGCUUAAAAAGAUCUUUAAAGCAUAACAUAAAUACAUAGAUGCCCGCUAUAUAUGCAAGUAAAUGUGAUGUGGUAAAGCCUGAAAUUUUCAAAAUUUAUAGAAAUUUUUUUCGGUUGUCAAAUUAAAGAUAAUCCUUGUAUUAAACAAGCUCUCCUCUUUAAUGAAGAGUCACACAUAAUUGAAUUUCAAUUGAAAAAAGAAAAUUAUGUAUUUAUUCUUCAUCCUUAUCUUCAUGAUCAUUGGUUGUUGAGUCAAGAGUAUUCUACUUAUAAGUAGAUAAGGUAUUACAAAUGGGAAAUACCAAACUUCUCAUGCAUGCAAAAUUUAGAAGAACUAUAUAUACAUAUAUAUUUAGGGAUUAGAACAAAUAAUUAAAGUGAAUCUAUUAACCAUGGUUAAAAUCAUCAUUUAUGAUAGUUUCAUAUAAUCAAGAUUUUCACAAAUACUAAGGUCCUAUUUGGUAACUGCUUUUAAAAACGGUACAAAAAAAUAGUUUUUGAAAAAUAUUGUAUGAUGUUUUGUAAAACAAAAGUUUAUUUGAAAUCUGAAAUGUUUUUAACAUGUUUUUAAUAUUUUUUAAAAUAAUUUUUAUAUCUAGGGUUUUAUUUUUAAUCACCAUAUUAUAAUUAUUUUUUUUUAAAUAGUUAUAAAAAAAUUAAGUGAAAAUAACUAAAAAUAUUAUCUGAAAAUAUCAUGUUUUUUAUUAUUGAGAACAUAAAAUAGAAAAUAGUUUCCUAGCUAUCCAAUGCAUUUUUUAAUUUUUAAUUUUAAAAAAUAGAAAACCGUUUUCCAAAAGAGUCACCAAACUGAACCUAAAAUUUUAAAAAAAAGAAGCUUAUGACUAAAAUUCUUAUUGGUAAGACCACAAUUUUGGCCUAGGGCUUGGCUCGUAAGGCCUUUCCAAGACCUUGAAAACUCCAUCCAAAUUGGAAGUCCCAAAACACCGUGGAACACACAUGGAUUAGGAAAUAUUGGUAUGAUUCUGUAACUUAUUGUGCAGUAUUUGGGAGACGACACAAGACACAUAGAACUCUUGAAAACAAAAUAGAAAUCAGUUCUCCCAAUCCAAGUGCUUUACAACUAUAACCUUAAAAUAUGUGGAAUAACAACCCAAGAAACCCUACAAAAUCAUAUUCCUUUAAGAAACUCAAGGAAAUACACGGCACUAAUAAAACUUUAUCACAUUUUUUUUUUUAAUCUUAAUUGAACUUUUCUUUUGAGUUUACUUUUAUCGAAGACUCCAUGUAAAUUUUAAAAGGGAAAGGCGGUUUCCAAUAAUUUAAAAAAAUAUAUAUAUAAAAUAACUUCAACUUUUAUAAAUAUGAUUUAUCUCUAUCAAUUUAAAAAUAUUUUUAAAUACAUAUAUUUUUUUAAUUAUCUACUAAAACGACAUUUUACUUGUCAAGUUAAUAACAUAAUCGACAAUUUAUUUAUUUUUUAUCAUGAUAAAUUUCAGAUUAAUAAAAUAGGAAAUUUUAAAAAAUUAAAAAUAUAAUUAAAGCUAAAAAAAAUUUAUAACUAAAAAUAUAAAAAUAAAAUAUUAACUUUCGCUUCACUAAAUCACAUUAGUAGAAAACGUAGAUUCAAGAAAAAAUAGGAAAUACAAUAGAAUUCAAUAUUUUAUCUUUUCUAAUUUUAAAGUUUUUUGGUUUUAAUUGUAUUUAAUUUUUAAUUUUUUGUUUUAAUUGUAUUUAAUUUUAAAAAAUAUUAGUUUCAAUUGUAUUUUAAAAUUUUUAAAAUUUUUUAUUUUAUUGUUGAUGACAACUACCAAAAUUUUUAUUCAAUUUUAUUUUUAAAAAAAAUGAUAAAGUAGAUUUUUAUAAUAUAGGAUAUAAAAUCAUUAUUAAUUAGAGAAUGAAAAAUUUUUAUUUAUCAUUGGGGAUGUUGGAUAAUUUUUUGUAAAAUAAUCUAUAUCUCAUGUUUCAUAAUAAAAAAAAUUAUAAUAUAUUUAUUAGUGAGAUAAUUUUAUUAAAUUAAAAUAAUAAAUUAAUUUUUUGAUAAUUUUAUUUAAUAUUAUAAAAUAAAAUGAUAUUUUAAGAAAUAAACAUCUAAUUUAUAAUAUAUAUAUAUAUAAUGUUUUAAAAUGUUUUUAAACGAAUGAAGAUAUAAUUGAUUUAUAAAAAUUGAGGUUGUUCUUUCUAUAUUUUUUUAAAUUAGCGAGUAAAAAAUCGCUUUGUAAAAUUAUUUUUUAUGAAUUUUACUUUUUAGAAAUUACAAUAUCCAUGCAAAAAGCCAGAGGAUGAGGUGGGAUUUAGAAUUUUGGAGGGUGAGAUGGUGAAAGGAUACGGAGGAAGCAAAACAAAGAAUUCAGAUUCAGCUGGUGGGCCGCGUCAUGGGUGAGGCAGGGGCACGCACGCAUUACGAGCACAUCCAACGUAUCACAGGUCGAUUUUCUUGCCUCCCACUCACGGGCCCCCUUCCCGAGUUCAUUCCAAUCUUUUUGUUAUAUGUUUUGAUCCUUAGAAAUGAUGAAAAUGAACUUAUCCCUUAAAUUUUGUAUUCCAGAACGCAUAUCAACCGCCUCCAUGUCUGCAAUCUGCAUAACCUAAUGCAUGGGUACUGGUGUAAAAACUAAAAACCUAAAACUUCGUAUAUUGGGAAACGUGGAUUUGACCAAUAAGGAUAGAAUGCCUACCACCACGACGUCGUUUGGUACGAUGGAUUGCUUGACAAGUUGGGUUUUUCCAUUUGCAAAUUUCGGCGCUGUACACACCUGCCAAUUUCUGUACCUCAACCUCAAUGGAAACCAAAGCUCCGUCCAAUCUCGCUUCUUCGCAAAACCCUAAAUCCUCAAUUACAAAAUCAGUAAGCAAUAACAGAGACUUCUUGAACCACCUGGAAGCUUACCUCGCAAAGAGAGAUGGAGUCGACAAGCUUCUAAAGAUCUCCAGGUACGCCACCAGGAUCAUCCUCGCUUCCUCGCUCCUCCCCGAAACCUUGACCCUAAAUCGCCGACUCAAGAGCUUUGAGUCCAGCGUCGGUGUGAGUCGCAAAGCCUUCAGACUAGGCAAAUUCGUUCAAGAUUUGAACGCAUUAAGAAACACGUGUUUCGAUUCGAAAGAAGAUGUGAUCCUCUCCAUCAUUG